GCGGGGGUGGCAGAGUCAGGUCAAAUGCGCAGGACUGAGGCUCCUGUGCCUUUAGUGGCUGCGUGGGUUCAAACCGAAAGGUUGCCCAAAAAUCCCAUCCCCCGCA
rnacentral:tRNA from 1 species